rnacentral:lncRNA from 1 species
GAUUUGGUUUAGGAUUUGGUUGGGAUUAGGUUUAAGAUUUGUGUAGGGUUUGAUUUAGGAUUUAGGAUUUGGUUAGGAUUUGAUUUAGGAUUUGUAUUAGGAUUUGAUUAGGAUUUUAUUUAGGAUUUGUAUUAGGAUUUGAUUAGGAUUUUAUUUAGGAUUUAGAUUAGGGUUUGGUUUAGGGUUUAGGAUUUGGAUUAGGGUUUGGUUUAGGAUUUAGAAUUUGGUUUAGGAUUUGGUUAGGAUUUGGUUUGGAUUUAAUUUAGGAUUUUGUUGGAGUUUGGUUUAAGAUUUGUUUAGGAUUUGAUUUAGGGUUUAAGAUUUGAUUAGGGUUUGAUUUAGGAUAUAGGAUUUGUAUUAAGAUUUGAUUAGGAUUUUAUUUAGGAUUUAGAUUAGGAUUUGAUUUAGAAUUUAAAAUUUGGAUUAGGAUUUGGUUAGGAUUUGAUUUAGGGUUUAGGGUUUGAUUUAAGAUUUUAUUAGGAUUUGAUUAGGAUUUGGUUAGGAUUUGGUUAGGAUUUGAUUUAGGAUUUGAUUGGGGUUUGGUUUAAGAUUUGUUUAGGAUUUGAUUUAGAGUUUAGGAUUUUAUUAGGAUUUAAGAUUUAAUUAGGUUUGGCCUAAAGUUUGAAUAAAGUUCAAUAGGAUUUUAAUUAGAAUUAAAUUAAGAUUGAAUUGAGAUAUAUUUGAGUGAUAUUUGUAAUCCUUCUAAUAUUUCUUUAAGAAUUCUUAUUAUUUGUUUGAAAUUUCUUGAGGUUUUUUUUGAAUUUGAUUAAGCUUGCUUAGCAUUAUUAUGGUUUAAUUAGAGAAUUAUUAGUAUUUUAUUAGAAUUAGAAUUUUGUUAUUACAAUUUCCAUUCUUCCUUCUACAGCCAGGUACCCAGAGCAUUCUCAAGCAAGACUUCACAUAUUACAACAAUGUACAAA